GGUUGGUCCAAUGGUAGUGGGUUAUCAGAACUUACUAACAUUAGUGUCACUAAAGUUGGUAUUCAAUUCCCCAUUGUAAAAUUUGACUGGCUUAAA
ensembl:misc_RNA Y_RNA Y RNA